rnacentral:rRNA from 1 species
UGAGGAAUAUUGGUCAAUGGGCGCAAGCCUGAACCAGCCAUCCCGCGUGCAGGAAGACGGCGCUAUGCGUUGUAAACUGCUUUUCCAGGGGGAGAAACUUGCGCACGUGUUGCGCAAUUGACGGUACCCUGGGAAUAAGCAUCGGCUAACUCCGUGCCAGCAGCCGCGGUAAUACGGAGGAUGCGAGCGUUAUCCGGAUUCAUUGGGUUUAAAGGGUGCGUAGGCGGACUAUUAAGUCAGUGGUGAAAUCCUGCAGCUUAACUGCAGAACUGCCAUUGAUACUGAUAGCCUUGAGUUUGGUUAAGGUAGGCGGAAUGUGUAAUGUAGCGGUGAAAUGCUUAGAUAUUACACAGAACACCAAUUGCGUAGGCAGCUUACUGAGCCGACACUGACGCUGAGGCACGAAAGCGUGGGG